rnacentral:rRNA from 1 species
AUGGGAACGCGAAGAACCUUACCUACUCUUGACAUCCAGAGAACUUAGCAGAGAUGCUUUGGUGCCUUCGGGAACUCUGAGACAGGUGCUGCAUGGCUGUCGUCAGCUCGUGUUGUGAAAUGUUGGGUUAAGUCCCGCAACGAGCGCAACCCUUAUCCUUUGUUGCCAGCGGUUAGGCCGGGAACUCAAAGGAGACUGCCAGUGAUAAACUGGAGGAAGGUGGGGAUGACGUCAAGUCAUCAUGGCCCUUACGACCAGGGCUACACACGUGCUACAAUGGCAUAUACAAAGAGAAGCGACCUCGCGAGAGCAAGCGGACCUCAUAAAGUAUGUCGUAGUCCGGAUUGGAGUCUGCAACUCGACUCCAUGAAGUCGGAAUCGCUAGUAAUCGUAGAUCAGAAUGCUACGGUGAAUAC